GACGUAGGGCACAAGCGUUGUCCGGAUUUAUUGGGCGUAAAGAGCUCGUAGGCGGCUUGUUGCGUCGACCGUGAAAACCCGUGGCUCAACUGCGGGCUUGCGGUCGAUACGGGCGGGCUAGAGUUCGGUAGGGGAGACUGGAAUUCCUGGUGUAGCGGUGAAAUGCGCAGAUAUCAGGAGGAACACCGGUGGCGAAGGCGGGUCUCUGGGCCGAUACUGACGCUGAGGAGCGAAAGCGUGGGGAGCGAACAGG
rnacentral:rRNA from 1 species